GCGCUGAUCGCACAAUUGCCGCCAUGGCAGCCGCCGCCGCCGACUCAAAACCUCCCGUCGAGAUCUGCGUUAAGGCCGCCACCGGCUCCCCCGACAUCAUCGGCGACUGCCCCUUUUGCCAGCGAGUGACGAUGACUCUCGAGGAGAAGGGCGUGCCCUACCAGUUGAAGCUUGUCGAUCUCAGCAACAAGCCGGACUGGUUUCUGGAGAUUAGUCCGGAAGGGAAGGUGCCGGUGUACAAGGGAGAUGACGGCAAGUGGAUCCCCGAUUCUGAUGUGAUUACUCAGAUCAUUGAGGAGAAGUACCCUGAGCCGUCUCUGGUGACGCCUCCGGAAUACUCUUCAGUGGGAUCCAAAAUAUUAUCUUCAUUUGUCAAGUUUCUGAAAAGCAAGGAUCCCAAUGAUGGAUCAGAACAGGCAUUGCUGGAAGAACUGCGUGCUCUGGAUGAACAUCUCAAAGAACAUGGCCCAUAUAUUAAUGGCGAAAGCAUUUCUGCUGUUGAUUUGAGUUUGGCACCAAAGUUAUUUCAUCUUGAGAUUGUCCUUGACCAUUUCAAAGGCUGGAAGGUCCCAGAGGACUUGACUUACCUUAAUGCUUACACGAAGCUGCUUUUUAACCGUGAGUCUUUUGUGAAAACCAAGCCUGCAAAGGAGCUUGUUAUUGCAGGGUGGGCGCCUAAAGUUACUGGUUAAUUUGUUGUAUGGGUUGAGAAGUAUUAGUGGAUCUAUGUUUUAGUGAUGACUGGUUUAGUUGGCUGUAAUAAUGUUUGCUGUUGCGCUAUCUCGGUUCUGCUGCUGAGUAUAUAGACCUCUAUU
rnacentral:misc_RNA from 1 species